CGAACGGGUGAGUAACGCGUGAGGAACCUGCCUCAAAGAGGGGGACAACAGUUGGAAACGACUGCUAAUACCGCAUAAGCCCACGGGUCGGCAUCGACCUGAGGGAAAAGGAGCAAUCCGCUUUGAGAUGGCCUCGCGUCCGAUUAGCUAGUUGGUGAGGUAAUGGCCCACCAGGGCGACGAUCGGUAGCCAGACUGAGAGGUUGAACGGCCACAUUGGGACUGAGACACGGCCCAG
rnacentral:rRNA from 1 species